GUGUCAGCCGCCGCGGUAAAACGUAGGAGCCAAGCGUUAUCCGAAUUCACUGGGCGUAAAGCGCGUGCAGGCGGCUUGGUAAGUUGGAUGUGAAAUCUCCUGGCUCAACUGGGAGAGGCCGUUCAAUACUGUCAAGCUCGAGGACGACAGAGGGAGGUGGAAUUCCGGGUGUAGUGGUGAAAUGCGUAGAUAUCCGGAGGAACACCAGAGGCGAAGGCGACCUCCUGGGUCGUACCUGACGCUCAGAUGCGAAAGCUAGGGGAGCGAACGGGAUUAGAUACCCCUGUAGUCC
rnacentral:rRNA from 1 species